GUGUAUGUCUUCCAUUCCAUGGCUUGAGUUCUUGUGUAUAAAAUGAACAACAGAAAGCUUUGGUACAAUAUCUGACAAUUUAUAAUUUUUGGAUAUGUUUGUCCGGAAAAAAUUUAAGCGUUGCUGAUGUUAGUCCGGGAAAAUUUUUUUUAUUAUUGCCAUCCCUCCCUCCCUGUCAACCCCUCCCUCCCUGUCAACCCCUCCCUUCCCUUCCCUCCUCCCCUGUGACCCAAAUGCCUUUGCAGCCCGCAUCCAGGCUUUGCCUGCGCCAGGCUAACACGUGUAUGAGAUUUUAGCAAUGGCGGGGAAAUUGAAAGAGCUUUAAUAAAAGCCAACAUUAAAUCGAGUUUUAGAUCAAAAUAUUCGUUCUAAAACCUUUAUUUUUUCGAUUUUAUCCAAGUAUAACCACUUAUCUUUAAAGAAUGGACAAUAUUGUGUUUGUAGCGGUUUCAAAAGAGCUGCAAAUUCCUUCAAAAGAUCUCAUUUUGGAAAGCUUACUGAAUUCAACACGUGGUUGAAAUGUGAUGGUUUUUUGGCCUCGAUACCAGCGCCGUAACCUGUUAGAAGUUGCUGAAAAUACUCUGGCGUGUCUGCUUCUAAGGUAUUUGGGCUUGUUCUUGUAAUCUUGUGCUGUUAUAGUUUAAAUUUUGAUGUAUGAAAGAUUUAUCUCAAUUUGCUGGGUUUUAUUAGACCAAAUAUGAAAUUGUUAUCAUGUUUCUCGUCCACAAUUUUCUAAAAUUUGGAGCGGAAUAUUUUCAUUUUUCAUUAUUUUUUGUAUUUGAAUUCUGCUUGUCAAUAAUUUCCUUGACCCAGUAAAAACCCCCAUAAAAAUCUGAAGUAAAUCGGUGUAUAAUUCAUUUUAAUUGAAUACGU